GAGAGAAAGAAAAUGCCAAACUAUGAUAGUCAUGAAUUGGAAUUAAGCUUGGUGCUUCCUCUUUGUUUUUUUUGUUUUUUUUGUUGUUAAAGAGUAAUGGAUAGUUUCUAAAUACUAAGAAGUGAGUCUGUGGAAUAAAUCAGAGAUUGAUUUAUGAGUUAUUGAUUAUGUAAUUGGAGUACUGAGUGAUUGAAUUAUAUGAGAAGUUAUUGGAAGAUUAAUUAUGGAUGGAAGAUCAUGAUUGUUGUUUAUUGAGAGUUGUGUGUGUGUAUUUUGAUAGAGGAAGUCUGUGAUUACAAGAAUUCUGUGAAUUUAGAUUAGUUUGAGUGAAGUUUGUUAUUCAUGGUGUUGGAUGGAAUUUAUUGAGGUUUGAGCAAUCUUUUGAGAGUGCAGGGUUGCAUACUAUGGUUAUCAGUUGAUAGAGGAGUAUUGUUACUAGGUGAAAGCAUUGUAGUAUUUCUUAGUGUUUUAGUGGUUCGAAAUAUAGUUAAUUGUGUGAUCCUAAUGAGUGAA
rnacentral:lncRNA from 1 species